rnacentral:rRNA from 1 species
GGGGAAUUUUGGACAAUGGGGGAAACCCUGAUCCAGCCAUCCCGCGUGUAUGAUGAAGGCCUUCGGGUUGUAAAGUACUUUUGGCAGAGAAGAAAAGGUAUCUCCUAAUACGAGGUACUGCUGACGGUAUCUGCAGAAUAAGCACCGGCUAACUACGUGCCAGCAGCCGCGGUAAUACGUAGGGUGCAAGCGUUAAUCGGAAUUACUGGGCGUAAAGCGUGUGUAGGCGGUUCGGAAAGAAAGAUGUGAAAUCCCAGGGCUCAACCUUGGAACUGCAUUUUUAACUGCCGAGCUAGAGUAUGUCAGAGGGGGGUAGAAUUCCACGUGUAGCAGUGAAAUGCGUAGAUAUGUGGAGGAAUACCGAUGGCGAAGGCAGCCCCCUGGGAUAAUACUGACGCUCAGACACGAAAGCGUGGGGAGCAAAC